UACGUAGGGUGCAAGCGUUGUCCGGAAUUAUUGGGCGUAAAGAGCUCGUAGGCGGUCUGUCACGUCGGACGUGAAAAUCCAGGGCUUAACCCCGGGCCUGCAGUGGGUACGGGCAGACUAGAGUGCGGUAGGGGAGACUGGAAUUCCUGGUGUAGCGGUGAAAUGCGCAGAUAUCAGGAGGAACACCGGUGGCGAAGGCGGGUCUCUGGGCCGUAACUGACGCUGAGACACGAAAGCGUGGGUAGCAAACAGG
rnacentral:rRNA from 1 species